rnacentral:tRNA from 1 species
GCCAGUAUGGUGGAUAUGAUCCUCGGCUUGUAACCGAGUGGGUUCGGGUUCGAAUCCCGAGUAAGGUA